GCGGACCGACGGGCUGUUCAGCGCGGUCCGAUGCCUUCAAACGGUACCGCCGGUACCGCCUUUAUCGGACGUUCUGUGCGGGACGGGACUGUCCGCAC
rnacentral:tRNA from 1 species